GUAGAGGUNNGCGGAAUUNNNGGUGUAGCGGUGGAAUGCGUAGAUAUCGGGAGGAACACCAGUGGCGAAGGCGGCCUACUGGGCACUAACUGACGCUGAGGCUCGAAAGCAUGGGUAGCAAACAGGAUUAGAUACCCUGGUAGUCCAUGCCGUAAACGAUGAUUACUAGGUGUGGGAGGAUUGACCCCUUCCGUGCCGCAGUUAACACAAUAAGUAAUCCACCUGGGGAGUACGACCGCAAGGUUGAAACUCAAAGGAAUUGACGGGGGCCCGCACAAGCAGUGGAGUAUGUGGUUUAAUUCGAAGCAACGCGAAAAACCUUACCAGGUCUUGACAUCCCGUGCAUAGCUAAGAGAUUAGUGAAGUCCUUCGGGACACGGAGACAGGUGGUGCAUGGUUGUCGUCAGCUCGUGUCGUGAGAUGUUGGGUUAAGUCCCGCAACGAGCGCAACCCUUAUCUUUAGUUACUACGCAAGAGGACUCUAGAGAGACUGCCGUUGACAAAACGGAGGAAGGUGGGGAUGACGUCAAAUCAUCAUGCCCUUUAUGACCUGGGCCACACACGUACUACAAUGGCAAUUAACAAAGAGAAGCGAAACCGCGAGGUGGAGCGAACCUCAUAAAAAUUGUCUCAGUUCGGAUCGCAGGCUGCAACCCGCCUGCGUGAAGCCGGAAUUGCUAGUAAUCGCGGAUCAGCAUGCCGCGGUGAAUACGUUCCCGGGCCUUGUACACACCGCCCGUCACACCAUGAGAGCCGGGGGGACCCGAAGUCGGUAGUCUAACCGCAAGGAGGACGCCGCCGAAGGUAAAACUGGUGAUUGGGGUGAAGUCGUAACAAGGUAGCCG
rnacentral:rRNA from 1 species